URCAAGUACCCGGUGAGGGAAAGUUGCAAAGUACUUUGAAGAGAGAGUUAAAGAGGACGCGAAACCACGAGGGUCGAAACGGAUAGAGUUGACGAAAUCGGUAGCGAUCAGCGUCGCUGCGGGCUCCCCUGCGCUUUGGCUGCUGUUAUGGCGGUCGUGCGAGGUCUGGCUAGUCUGCGGUGGUGUGCUUUCGUUGCCGGUAUACGCUGUGGCGUUAGGCUGCCUCUUCCGAACUUUGCGAUGUGGCCUUCUUCGGAAGUCACCUGUCGUGGAGGGAGGUUGAUAUGGUGGCUUAUCGUUCARAUUGGUCUCCGCGAUKGCGCGGKGCGUGCGUUCGSUCGUUCGCUGCAGGGUCGACKUKGCGUUGCCAUKGGUCUUGUMSYUGGGCCURYGUGCGUGCGUACUGCGGGAGGCUGACCACGGURUCGAAAAGUCGASCACCUAUCCGACCCGKSUUGRMACACGGACCAAGAAGUCUAGCAAGUGCGCGAGUCACYGGGUGUUAAACUCAGGGGCGUAAUGAAAGYGAAGGCCGUCUUGCGCGGUUGAUAUGUGAUCCGUGGMWUCGGCUGCGGCGCAACAUAGCCCCAUGCCGAUUGCUUGCAAUGGUGUGGAGSUAGARCGUACUUGCUGGGACCCGAAAGAUGGUSMACUAUGCCUGAGCMKGACSAAGCCMSAGGAAACUCUGGUGGAGGUCCGAAGCGGUUCKGACGWGCAAAUCGAUCGUCYGACWUSGGUAUAGGGUCGACAA
rnacentral:rRNA from 1 species